rnacentral:rRNA from 1 species
ACGAACGCUGGCGGCGUGCUUACCACAUGCAAGUCGAACGGAAAGGCCCUGCUUUUGUGGGGUGAUCGAGUGGCGAACGGGUGAGUAACACGUGAGUAACCUGCCCUUGACUUUGGGAUAACUUCAGGAAACUGGGGCUAAUACCGGAUAGGAGCUCCUGCUGCAUGGUGGGGGUUGGAAAGUUUCGGCGGUUGGGGAUGGACUCGCGGCUUAUCAGCUUGUUGGUGGGGUAGUGGCUUACCAAGGCUUUGACGGGUAGCCGGCCUGAGAGGGUGACCGGCCACAUUGGGACUGAGAUACGGCCCAGACUCCUACGGGAGGCAGCAGUGGGGAAUAUUGCACAAUGGGCGGAAGCCUGAUGCAGCAACGCCGCGUGCGGGAUGACGGCCUUCGGGUUGUAAACCGCUUUCGCCUGUGACGAAGCGUGAGUGACGGUAAUGGGUAAAGAAGCACCGGCUAACUACGUG